CCGACUCCGGAAUUCAUCAGCGCAGAACGUCCUAAACGCAACAGAGACAACCGCUUCAGUUUGGAGUCACGUUUCCCUCCCUCUUGUCAAUGCACAGAAAAGACAACUGCUAAUAAGCUGGACAUUUGAUCGCCUCCUGACCGGGCAUGUCAGUUGUCCUAGUCCGCCCCUGACGUCGUCUCAAGCAGUGGAGCUUCCUCCUCCCCAAGCCGUGGAGUCUUCUGGAUGGACGCUAGGUGGCAUCUUCUGUUCUUUGGUUGCUUGCUCAAAAAAGUUGGAAGAGGAAAAUUACGAAACAGAGCAUCUUUCCGUCACACCAUUUAAUCCCAACUAAUGAGCAUUGUGUUUUUUUAAUUAGGCGAUUAAAAUCUACAGCUUAUAAAGAGAGGGAUCAUUGUUUACAAUUAGAUCGACAACUUAUAGAGGGAGUAAUCAUUGUUUUUUUU
rnacentral:sRNA from 1 species